CAGUCGCCGCGGUAAUGCGAAGGGUGCAAGCGUUAAUCGGAAUUACUGGGCGUAAAGCGCACGCAGGCGGUUUGUCAAGUCAGAUGUGAAAUCCCCGAGCUUAACUUGGGAACUGCAUUUGAAACUGGCAAGCUAGAGUCUUGUAGAGGGGGGUAGAAUCCCAGGUGUAGCGGUGAAAUGCGUAGAGAUCUGGAGGAAUACCGGUGGCGAAGGCGGCCCCCUGGACAAAGACUGACGCUCAGGUGCGAAAGCGUGGGGAGCAAACAGGAUUAGAUACCCGUGUAGUCCCUGUCUCUUAUAC
rnacentral:rRNA from 1 species